rnacentral:tRNA from 1 species
UUCGCAAUAGCCGAGCAGGGCGUCGAGCUUUUGGCGCUCGAUACGCUUUUGCAGGUCGGGGGCGUUCGACUCGUCGAUGCGGCU